CCGGUGGGGGCUGGGCAGCCAGGGAUUUACGGUGGCCUCAGUUGGCGGAGUCUCCUCCUGCCACCUCUGCCCCUCCGCCCGGCGGCAGCUGGGCCCGCGCCCUCUCCGUCCUCCAGGGCUUUGUGCUUCCAGUUUAUUUUCCAGUUGAUGAAGUGGGGGAGAGGCAGCGCCCUGGCUGCUGCCCCUGGAGACGCUGGCGUUCUGAAGGCAUCUCCUCUAGGAGGCUCCAGCCUGCGACACCCCCCUAACCUCGCCCCGCCUGUGGGUCCCACCUGCCGAGCGUCGGCGGCAGCAGACCCCGGCCUCCUCACCCCGCCUGCACAGGGCCAAGAUCAAAGCCGGCGUCAGAGAAUGUCGGAGGGAAAGGAAAUUUUCCCUGCAGUGGAGAUUGAACUCUCCUUCUGCUGUUUGCCAGCUGUGUGUCUUCCUAGUGCCACCCAGCGCCUUAGAAGGGCCCUGAGCAAGUGAGCUUCAUUAACUUCAUGGAGCAUGUUUAUUGUGUUCGAGAUGAUACAUCAGGUGCUUUCUGAGCUGCAAAGGGUAAAAGGAAAUCCUCCCAUUACAAACUGACAAAGGUAAAAGGGUCCUGUGCCUGGGGAUGAAGACUAAUCGGGGCAGGAGGAAGACUGGAAGACUCCCUGCUUGGGGAAGCUCCCAAAAUGAAAAUAAUCACAGCUACCAUUGACUACUCCCUGGGAGCCCAGCACUAGUUCUAAGAGCUAUAUGGAUAUUGACCUAUUUAAUCCUCAUAACCAGCCCCAUAAAGCUGGCGUCAGAAUCUGUGGAAGGUGUUGUAACAGCAUAUAACCAGCAGGGGGCACCAGAGAGCCAUGCGCCUUUGCUCCGGGGCUGAAAUCCAGAAAUCUUGGCGGGUAGAGUUAGGGACCCAGGAAUCUGGGAGGAAAGAAGAGGAGACCUCUCCAGACCAAUACAAUACUGUAAAGUUGUGCAAUUCCUGUACAAUUUCUGUUAUUUCUCCUCAGCUCACUCCCUAGGACCCAGCGGUCAAGCAUCCCCAACCCUGUGAGAUGCAGAAUCAAGGAGUUUGGGAGAGAGGUUGUGUGUUAAGCUGAGCCCUUUAAGAAAGAGGAAACCCUUCCUGAAAGCCCUCAUCCCUCUCACUAGGACUUCUCUCCCUUCCCUGUAGCCAGCUCUCUCCACCCCAAAGGAUCUCCAACUCUAUGCUUGGAGAUCUUCGUGUGGCUGCCCUCUCCUUGGCCUCUGAAGCCUUCCAGUUGGCUCCUUUCUCCUCUGGAUGGGUAGGUGCCCAAGAUAAACAAAGGCAGGAGUCCACUGUGCCUCUCCCCAGUCAGCUGAGGACUCCAACCCAGUCUGGUCCCACUGUGUGCUCGGCGAGGCCCCGAGGCAGGGGCUCUGGGCAGGUCCAAGAAUUCUAGGAUUCUCCAGCUUUGGGGUUUGGAGGUGGGAAGAAGUGUGUAUCCCUCUCCACCCCUAACCUUCAUGAGUCUUUUGAGAAUUCCCAAUUUGGGGGAUCUAGGGGUUAGAUUCUGGGUGUGGAAUUGACAAAUAAAAAAAAGAUUUGAUGCUUUUCGAUUCCAUGAACCAGCGCCUGCCCACCCCCUCCUCUCCCAUA